ACAACAAAAGCUUGCUGGUUACUGCACCAAGUUUUGGUGUCAACAGACUAAUUUGUUGUUUCUACUGCCGGCAAUGCCGAUGGUGUUCUUUAUAUUUGAAGAGGAGUCGACGUGGCUUUGGAUAUUGCAAUCAGACGUCAUUAGCUCUGAAGACAAGUAUCAGACUUCUAUAAUUAGUUUCGGAACAUGAAGCAUUCAUACUCCGAAACUGGGGGGCCUGUGUUGACAC
rnacentral:lncRNA from 1 species